UUUUUAUUAUAUAAAAGAAAAAGUUAUCCUUUACAAUAUAUUCUCCAUUAAAAUCGAAGAAGAAAGAGCUAAUUGAAGGAUUUACGAAAUAGCUGUAAUGAAUGGAUAAAAUGAAAUGAAUUAUUGAUGAAUUGCAGAGAGAAAAUCGUAUAGAUAUUAAGGUUAAUGUAAAUAUCAUUAGACAACUUUUACUAAUGAAGAUUCUUGUAUUAAUAUCUGGAUAAAUAACAUUCAAUGUAUUACUAAAAUUUUAAAUGUAAAUUUCUCUUUAUCUCUCCAAGUUUCAUCGGGAACUUUAUCCAAAGUAAUAAAUAGAACAAGAAGAAGGAUCGUUUGAUAUACUUGAUCCUGAAACCACCGUAUAACUUUUCUGUUAUUCAACGAAUACGAGUUGGCCAGUCGAUAAAUAUCCAACUUUAGAGCAAAUUCCUGGCACCUAGUUAUCUGCGAGUGUGAAAAGCCAAUCUCGAGAGAUUUUUUUUCAAUGGCAUGCCGACCGAAGCAAAGGAUAAGAGAUCACAAAUCGAAAAAGGUUCCAGUUACAGCCGGGAUCAAGGGAAGAAAUUAAAUUUGGGGUUUUAUAAUGCUGCAUAACAUUCCUGAAACGCGAAACGAUACACGUUCGAUGUUGAUUCGAGUGAUAAAGUGAUGAAAAAAAAAGAAAAGAAAAGAAAAGAAAAGAAAAGAAAAGAAAGAAAGACCGCCAAAGACCGAACACAGACGUUCAACUUCGUAUUACAAGGGAAUCGAGGCGCCACGAGUAAAUUCCGAAUUUGAGAGGACCACGUGAGAACACGAGACCGUUAACUGGAUUCCGCGACCGAGUGUAUUUUUUAUCUUUCAGAGAUACAUUUAAGUACCAGCCGACGCAUGCCUCAGAUAAAAUCCACGGCAUUGCGAAUAAUACAAAGUACCAGAAACUAUUUUAUUGAUUUAGGCAUUCGAGAAAUGUAUAUAAGAUCGAUUAUAAAUUUAGUAUUGAAAACAUCUUGGACAUCAUUAAAUAUACGUACAACUAACUGCAUUGAUAAAUUAAAGGUAAUAAUAAGGAAGUUUUGAAUAUCCUUCGAAGUUGCAAAUACCGUAUAAAUAUAACUGUGUGACGCUAUGGCCAAAAAUAUCACACGACUGUGUUAAUAUCGCAACCAAACGGCUAUGAAUGUGUACGUACGUACGUAUGUAUGUAUGUAUGUAUGUAAAUGUCCACGUACGAUGUGAUGAGAACGUUUUCGCGAGAGAGAUCGGUCGAACGAUCAUCUUGAGCCUCGAAUUAAAAAGCGUCCCGCUAUUCAUAAACUGUGGCUGGUAUGGUUUCAGCCACCCACGAUUUUCUCUGAUCGUAGUAGCCAUUCAUUAUUUCGACGCUAUUCUAGAAAUAAUAAUAAUAGAAGCAAGAUGAACGUUCUCUAACGAUCGAGUAGGAAAUCAAUGUCGAUUCAUGCGUGGGAUUCCUUCGUGUGGGCUGCCUUUCAAACAUUUCCAGUUUAAAAACAAACACUUUUUCAACUCCGCGCACCGCGGAUUUCGUGAGAAAUUUUGAAUCAAUCUUUUCUGAUUGUUUUUUGAUGCGUUAAUUAAAUCUAGAAUUAUUAUGAGAUCUUUUAACGUGCUGCCAUCUACGUACGUCUGAUUGGUUGGUUAGAGAACGAGUAAUGGUAGACAUACUAGCGCAAUAUAUGACUUCAGGUAAAGAAACGACAACGUCUCGUGUGAUUCACGCGAUGUGUCUGCCUGACUGCUCUCACGACGAAGCCCGCGACCUAUCAAUAGCUUCUCAUAUACACUGAAGAGAGACUGUCAUUUCACUGAAGACUAAAAAUAGAGUUCACGCGUUCGUCCACAAGCCAUUGGGACCAAAAGCAAUUCUAUAUCAGUUUUCUCUCUUUCUUUCGAUCAUACUUUCUCUCUUCACCUUCUCUCUUUUCAACUUAUUUCGAUUCCUUCUUUUUUUUUUUCUAAUCACUAUUCGGGGUAAAAUUAACUUAUAUUUCAAACUGUUGAUACAUGUCAUUCGUUCUAAUAUAUAAUUUAAACGUAAAAUUUUAUUUUUCCGGAUACAAAUUUUUUUGUUGAAAAUAUUUAAUUUUUUUAUUUGACGAAUAAAUUCCACAAUUUUAAAAAUUCAUGGUUGAAAAAUUCAUGUUUAAAUAAAAUCAAUAUUGGUUUUGUUACAAAGCACUUAAAGAAAAGGAUUAAUAAAACGAAAAUAAUUCUCAGGCAUUGUAAAUUAAACCAAGUUUAAUUUCAAUAAAUAAAUAUUUAAUUAGCAAUUGAUAUCGUAUUUAGAAUGCACACGAAAAAUUAAAAAUUUGCAUUACUAUAGCUCAUUUGUAUAAUCAUCGACUCAUCUUAAUAUACAUAUUGAACCUCAUUAAUAUGUAUUUAAACAUGCAUGAUUUUCGAUCUUAUGCUUAUUUUUAAAGAUUAAAAUUAUGAUUUUUGAAAUGUACUCGUCAAGUUCUACCAAAAUGUCAAAAUUAUAUAGAAAUAUUUU